GGGCGCUUGGCUCAGUGGAAGAGCACUGCCUUCACACGGCAGGGGUCACAGGUUCAAAUCCUGUAGCGCCCACAA
rnacentral:tRNA from 1 species